UACAGAGGGUGCAAGCGUUAAUCGGAAUUACUGGGCGUAAAGCGCGCGUAGGUGGUUCGUUAAGUUGGAUGUGAAAUCCCCGGGCUCAACCUGGGAACUGCAUUCAAAACUGUCGAGCUAGAGUAUGGUAGAGGGUGGUGGAAUUUCCUGGUGUAGCGGUGAAAUGCGUAGAUAUAGGAAGGAACACCAGUGGCGAAGGCGACCACCUGGACUGAAUACUGACACUGAGGAGCGAAAGCGUGGGGAGCGAACGG
rnacentral:rRNA from 1 species